AACCGUGCAGCGCCGCAUCAUGCAGGCACUGAGCAAGAGGCACGAGAUGCGAACGUGAAUAGUCUUUCGUCUAUUUGCCACCCAAAUCGAGGAGACAAGGUGGCCCUGUUGGUCUGCGUACGUCACAAUCACAACGGUAACAUCCUAAAAAUUUAAAACAGAAUGAGGAUUUUUAAAAAAAAUUCAAACAAACUAUAAAAGCCCGUUUUCUACUUUAAUACUCAAAAUCAUUUUAAACAUUUAUGUACAAACACAUAAUUACUCGCUCCGUCGCUCCGAUAGUAUCUCGCUCCCCCACUCCCACCCUGCACCCUGCUCCUGCUCCCCCACUCCCACUACCGGCG
rnacentral:lncRNA from 1 species